rnacentral:tRNA from 1 species
GCGUUUGUGGUUUAGUGGUAAAAUCCAUCGUUGCCAUCGAUGGGCCCCGUGUUCGAUUCACGGCAAUCGCA